GACGAACGCUGGCGGCGUGCUUAACACAUGCAAGUCGAACGGAAAGGCCCUGCUUUUGUGGGGUGCUCGAGUGGCGAACGGGUGAGUAACACGUGAGUAACCUGCCCUUGACUUUGGGAUAACUUCAGGAAACUGGGGCUAAUACCGGAUAGGAGCUCCUGCUGCAUGGUGGGGGUUGGAAAGUUUCGGCGGUUGGGGAUGGACUCGCGGCUUAUCAGCUUGUUGGUGGGGUAGUGGCUUACCAAGGCUUUGACGGGUAGCCGGCCUGAGAGGGUGACCGGCCACAUUGGGACUGAGAUACGGCCCAGACUCCUACGGGAGGCAGCAGUGGGGAAUAUUGCACAAUGGGCGGAAGCCCGAUGCAGCAACGCCGCGUGCGGGAUGACGGCCUUCGGGUUGUAACCCGCUUUCGCCUGUGACGAAGCGUGAGUGACGGUAAUGGGUAAAGAAGCACCGGCUAACUACGUG
rnacentral:rRNA from 1 species